rnacentral:misc_RNA from 3 species
AACGCAUAUGGCACCCCUUGGCGCAUGCCGGGGGGUAUGCCUGUUUGAGAAUCAUUUCCACCGUUCCGGCGGUUGCCGUCGGAGACCUGGGCAUUCAGCACUGAUCGCCCCGAAUGCAGCGUGCGCGGUCGUGAUAGGAUUCUAUUGGUCGACCGUGCACCCCUGUCGAUGAUCUCAAAUCAGGCAGGACCACCCGCUGAACUUAA